UUUAAGCGAGGAGGAGGCUACUUUAGUUAAUACCUAGAGAUAGUGGACGUUACUCGCAGAAUAAGCACCGGCUAACUCUGUGCCAGCAGCCGCGGUAAUACAGAGGGKGCAAGCGUUAAUCGGAUUUACUGGGCGUAAAGCGCGCGUAGGCGGCUAAWUAAGWCAAAUGUGAAAUCCCCGAGCUUAACUUAGGAAUUACAUUCGAUACUGGUUAGCUAGAGUGURGGAGAGGAUGGWAGAAUUCCAAGUGUAGCGGUGAAAUGCGUAGAGAUCUGGAGGAAUACCSAUAGCGAAGRCAGCCAUCUGGCCUAACACUGACGCUGAGGAGCGAAAGAUGGGGAGCAAACAGGAUUAGAUACCCUGGAAGWCCAUGCCGUAAACGAUGAMUACUAGCCGUURGGGCCUUWAAGGCUUAAGUGGCGCAGUAACGCGAUAAGUAGACCGCCWGGGGAGUACGGUCGCAAGCUAAAACUCAAAWGAAUUGACGGGGGCCCGMACAAGCGKGGGAGCAUGUGGWUUAAUUCGAAGCAACGCGAAGAACCCUUAMCUGGCCUWGACAAAGAAAGAACWUUCCAGAGAUGGAUUUGGUGCCWUCGGGAACAUACAA
rnacentral:rRNA from 1 species